UUGUUCUUUAAAGAACCUUUGACUGAAUGGUUCUUUGUAAAAACAAAAAUGGUUAUAUGGCAUCGCUAUGAAGAACCUUUUAAAGCACCAUUAUCUUUAAAAAUGUAUUAAUAUUAUAAGACUUUCUUUUGUCCAAUGUACAAUCACAUACACAUCAUUUUUUUUUUUUUUAAAGAAUGGCUUGAUGACAGCUCAGUUUGUUAUAAAAAUGCUGUUUAAAACAAAAGCUGUGUGCAAAACCAGUGUGAUAAAAUCUUAAAUGUCAUUUACAUGCAAUCUGUGGCUUUGACACAAGGUUUUUACAAAUACAAAUUAAGUUAGAAAUGCAAUAUACAAAUGAAACCAUCAAUAAAAAUAUUUAUAAUAUUACAAUUUAAUAUUAUAAUUAUAAUAUUUAUACGUUUAUCCAAACAAUGCUGAUAUCAAGAGAGAAGUGAGAAGUGUUGGGUGUUAGACUGAGUUGAGUUAGUGUGUUGUUUACUUGAACACACUGAAAUAGCUUAGGAGGUGUUGCAAUACUGAGGCCUUUCCUCUUCACCGGGACUUAGUAACCGCAUCUCUGGAAGAAGUUGCAAUUGAUCUCAGAACACACAGCACUUUCAAGUCUGAUUUGUGUUGAUUUCAAAAGUGUAGUACUGUGCAGUAUUAUGUUUGACUUCAUCUGUUUUUCCAUACAUUUGAAAACUGAGCAGAAAAUAUCUAUCUGUACGAAUGUUCAAAUUUUACUUACUGUCACUCUUUCUUGUUUCUAACAACAUACAAUUAGCUUUUUUAAAAAGAGAUUUAAAGUUUUAAUUCUUUAAACUGUACCACUUUCACUGUUUAACUGUCAUUGGUUUGUCCAUUGUAAGUAGAAGUCUCUCUCUCUCUCUCUCUCUCUCUCUCUCUCUCUCUCUCUCUCUCUCUCUCUCUCGGAAGUAAGUUCAUCUGCAGUUGCAGUGUGAGAAACAGUAAGCAGAAAACUUUUACUGAGCUUCACAGUUUAUUGUUUGUUUUAAUGCCAUAGUUUCUUUAUAAAUCCUAUAAAGAUGUUUUCAGGUGGAGGUGAUAUCACAGAGAAUGAAUACUCUUGUGAAGAUUCUGUGUCUUUUCAUAGUUUUGCCCAGUGUGUUGAUGAAGUCUGGACCUGUUUAUGUGAGUACAGAGGGUGAAACGGUGAAGAUCAGCUGUCCAUAUCCAGAUCGCCAUAUAAAUACACCCAAGUACUUUUGCCGUCAUCCCUGUAAAUCAUCUCAUCAUGUUCUGAUUAAAACUGUAAAGCAUGAUCAGGCCGUCUCAGAUGGAAGAUACUCUUUGAUUGAUUCUGUAAAUGGACGGUCCUUUACUGUAACCAUCAGACAUCUCAGACUCACAGACUCUGGUUAUUAUUACUGUGGACUUGAUCAAUGGUUCAAAGACACACUGAAGAAAGUUAAUCUAUCUGUUCAUCAAGCAGCUCCCGGGAGCAGAUCUACACACACCCCUGAAAACACACAUAUAACAUCUACAUGGACAACAACACUCACCUCAGCAGGCAGUGUGACUGUGGUUUGUGCAGGUGUUAUGUUAUUCCUGGUUUUCUGGAUCAUUGUGGCUUUAGUGUGUAUCUACAGCAGAAGAUCAGAUGCAAAGUCCAGAUGUAAGAUAAUGAACAUCAAAGUACUGGUUUAAACUAGCAUGAUGCUUCCAAAUCUCAUCUUCAGUCAAGUCUCAUAUUACUCAGAUACAGUUCAAGAUCCACCAGACUUCAACCAGGCUGUGGACGAUGUCUGUACAAUGGUAGUGUAUAGUUUGGAUGAUCCACCUAAAGAAGACUGUUCUUGUCUAAACUAUUCAACUACAGUAUAUUACUGCACGUGACUCAGGAACAGAGUCAUUCUGGAAUGUGGAACAAAUUAUUUACUAUUAUAAUUACUCCAUAUUUAGACCUAAUCAUAAUCUCAUCAGCAGCAGCAGCAGCAGCAGCAUCUCUCUGUUUAAUCUGUAUGAUAACACAAUUUCUGUAAUAAGUCAAUAAAAAGUAUAUUGUUUGCAGAGUAGCUUUAGCCAUCAUCUAUUAGUCUGAUGACCAAAUGAACGUUAGUUCACCAUUUCCUGGAUGGCAGAUCAGUCUCUGUGCUGCAUUCAGUUUUGAGACUGUUGCAGAGCAUUUGUGGUGUAUGUGGUCAAAGAAUAAAACAUUUUGCGAUGUGUUUUGCAAACGAAAUGAGGAGCUGUCCCUCAGCUUUGAUCUGUUUGGUUGCUCAUAGCCUAAUGUACUGUGGCCAAAUGUUACAGCCUAUGCUGAAUUCUUAUGAGCACUAAACUCACGGCCAUAGCCAGGGUUUGAAAUUUAGUGAGGUCUGGGGUGGGGGGAAUUGUGCUAUAAUAACCCCUACAAAUACAACUCAUUAUAUACACUAACACUUAAGAGACAGAAAUGUAGAUGUUUGUGAAAGAUAUUUUCUCUGUUUUGGAAGGAUAAACACUGUUAAAUUAUACCAUAUUCAUUGCAUCAAAAUGCAUUAAUAUUUGUUAAUAUCUAUAUGUUAGGGGUGGAUAAUUUUAUCAGUUGUUUAUUGAUAUCCUCAUUUGUAUAAAAGUGGAUUUAGAUAAAAGUGUCUGCUAAAUGACUAAAUGCAGCCUAAUGUAAUGUAAUCAUGCAACAAAACAUAUAACUGUUAUAGUUUUCAUUAAUAAUCAUUGCUAUACAGAUGAUAACUUUGUCUAGUGCUCUUAUGAAUGUUUUUAGCAUUCAUAAGAGCACUGACUCUCACUUCAUGUAAAGGGGCCGAACAUUAAGUGACUUCUAUAUUUUAUCCAAAAGACUAUUUAGAUAUGAUAUUGUUUAAAUAUUCAGAA